UGGGGAAUUUUGGACAAUGGGCGAAAGCCUGAUCCAGCCAUGCCGCGUGAGUGACGAAGGCCUUAGGGUUGUAAAACUCUUUCGUCGGGGACGAUAAUGACGGUACCCGAAGAAGAAGCUCCGGCUAACUUCGUGCCAGCAGCCGCGGUAAUACGAAGGGAGCUAGCGUUGUUCGGAAUCACUGGGCGUAAAGCGCACGUAGGCGGAUAGUUAAGUCAGGGGUGAAAUCCCCCGGCUUAACCUGGGAACUGCGUCUGAUACUGGAGGGCUUGAGUAUGGGAGAGGGAUGUAGAAUUCCAGGUGUAGCGGUGAAAUGCGUAGAUAUCUGGAGGAAUACCGGUGGCGAAGGCGGCAUCCUGGACCAUUACUGACGCUGAGGCGCGAAAGCUAGGGGAGCAAACGGGAUUAGAUACCCGGG
rnacentral:rRNA from 1 species